rnacentral:lncRNA from 1 species
ACUCUUUCAUGGCCCCUAUGCCUCAGUGCCUGCAAUCGGGGUGACUCAGGACUCCAGUGCGCCGAGGGGGGAUCUGCCUGCCCCUGCCCGGGGGGCAGGGAGGCCGGCGGGGGUCCAGCCGUGCCUCACGGUGCGGCGUGGCGGCAGGCCUGCGUGCGUGCUAGCCUCAGUGACCGGCUCUGCUGGAGAUCAGGUUCCAGGCGGCGUGAGCAGCUCCAAGGACAAAUGAACAGAUGAGGACCCUUCACCAAAAAUGCCUGACUUCUGUAAGAUGCACCAUUCCUGAAGUGGGAAGGAUGGGAGCUGGGAAAAAAAAAAAGCACACAGCACAGAGGAUGCUUUCUGCAUUGAGAAGUACCUCUUCUCAUGGAACAACCUUUUCGUCAUUAUAAGAAGAGGAUUUAUGGCUGCACAGAAGGUGGAUCAACAGAACGAUUCCCAUUUCACAGCAAAACAGAGAUGGGUUGCUCAGACGGUGGCAGACCUGGAAGAGGAUCUGGAUCUCUGGAGCCUUCAGUUCAUUUCAGCCUACUUGGUUACAGGUUCCUUGCCUUGCAAUAAAUAUAUGAUCAAUAAAAGAUAAUUCUGUCAAGGUGUUAAAGGCAAUUAGACAUACAAGAUUCAUCUUGUAUGUUUUCAAAGAUUUAAAGCUCCCUGUAGAAUGACUGUCUUCUGCCAGUUGUUCUUUAUAGGAAUCAGAAAAUAUUCCUGUGAUUUCUUCAAAACCAGCAUUUCCCAACUGUAUGUAUCAUCAGUGAAUCAAAUAGAGACAAAUCUUGUCUCUCAUUUCCAGUUAAGCCUGUCAUGUUAUAUGGCACUACAUAAUAUAUCAAGAAACAAAUGCAGCUGAUCUGGCAUGUCAUUGCUGCAAAAGGAAAUGAAACAAAUGCAGAUUUAUGAAAGAAGGCCCAUUUUUGGCACCAGUCAUGGACUUCCUGGCUGACUGCUAAUACCAAAGUGCAGAUUGUCUAUUUUAUGUUAGCAAGGGGAAAUCCCAGUAAUUCAUACCACAGCAUUAAAACACAGGAAUCUAAAAAUAGCAUGAAAGAGCUGGACUGGAAACAACAAUAAAAAUGAAAACUAAAA